rnacentral:lncRNA from 1 species
ACGAUUUUAAGUUGACCAAACAAGAGAAUUGGUGAACUUUCUCAUUCUGAGUGUUUUUCUCUCCUCCUGAGAUUUAUUUCUCACUGCUUGUGUGAGUUAACAGAUCCGUAAAUUAGUAGUUGCCGGCCGUUGCCUUGGCAAGGGUCGGUGGCAAUCCUGGUUCCCUUUCGAUUUCUUUUCUUUGUGUGUUUGUCAACCUACUUUUCCUCUUGUGCUCCUUAAACCUCAACUCCUUCAUCCUACAUUGGAAAGUCCCCAAUUCCGACUUUCCCUUUUCUAUUCUUCACAUUGUUUGUUCACUUCCAUGUUUCCAAGCAAUCCAUUUUCUUCCUUUCCUUUUUGGCUUUCCCAUCCCUUUGUGUCCUCCAUCCGACAUCAUUUCCCCUUCUUCCAUUGGAUCCAUCACCUCUUGGCUCACGUGCACUGCGACAAAACGCACAUCUGUGGGAGGGUGUGUAGAGCUUGGCUCAGAUGUUUGCACCACCACCUUUGAUGGCCCUUGUUGGCCCUUGCCGCUGCUCGCCCUUGUUGGGCCUUCCCGCUGCUCGCCCUUGUCGGCAAUGUUGCUUGUGGGAGCUUUCUUCUCGUGUGCUUCCAUGGUUUCGUGUUGGGGUUUGUCGUUCUCAAAACUAUUGCUAGGUUUUUGUUGGGGGUUGUUGGAGGAUGAUGGAGCUUUCUUCAUCCCUCUAUCUGAGGGCUUUGUGUGCCUUGAUCUUCGGUGUCUUCAAGAGGUGGGGUCUCACGCUAGGUGGUUGGUGCUUUGGCGGCGGAACAUGAUGUCGUGCUAGGUGGCUGCUAGGUUCUUAUGUAGUGUGUUUUGCUAUUUUGGGCUCCAAACUUUAAGUUGGAAUGGGAUUUUUUUUCUUAUACUGCUUUGGAGGUCCAUAUUAUGCGUUCUAC